rnacentral:ncRNA from 1 species
UUAUGGUUUAUAUAUUUUAUUUUAAAUUUAUUUUACAUAUAAAUUUUAGUAUUAAUUUUAUGUUAUUUAAAUAAUAAUUUAUAUUUUAUAUAGUAGUAAUUAAUAUUAAAUUAUUUAAGAAAUUAAGAUUUAGUAAUAUUUAAAUUAAUAACAAAUUUUGUGCCAGCAGUUGCGGUUAUACAAAAAUUAAAUUAAAUUUUAUUGAUAAUUAAUAAAUAAUUUAUUUUUUUUAUAAUAAAAAUUUUAAAUUAUUAGGUGAAAUUUUAAUUUAAUAAAAUUUUAUAUUUAUUUUUAUGAUUUAAUAAAUUUUAUAAAAAACUAGGAUUAGAUACCCUAUUAUUAAAAUUUAAAAUUAAAAUAUCAAAAUAGUAAAUAAUUAUUUAUUGAAACUUAAAUAAUUUGGCGGUAUUUUAGUUCAUUUAGAGGAAUCUGUUUAAUAAUUGAUAGUCCACGAAUAAAUUUACUUAAUUUAUUAUUUUGUAUAUCGUUGUUAAAAAAAUAUUUUUUAAUAAAAUUAAUAUUUAAAAAUUAUUAUAUAAAUUUAAAUCAGAUCAAGAUGCAGAUUAUAAUUAAGAAUAUAAUGGAUUACAAUAAAUUUAUUUAAAUGAAUAUUAAGUUUGUAAAAAUUAAUUGAAAGUGGAUUUAAAUGUAAUUUUAUUUAAUUUAAUAAAAUGAUUAAAAAUUAAAAUAUGUACAUAUUGCCCGUCGCUUUCAUAUAAUAAUAAAGUUGAAAUAAGUCGUAACAAAGUAGAGGUACUGGAAAGUGUUUCUAGAAAGAA